CAGGAACAUAGCUGACACUCUGCUGGGACAUUGCUUGUGGGAGGCAGAGCACCUGAAAAGCACCAGCAUCGCUGCUCUGUGGCCUUGGAUCCACUGAGUGGUGUCAAAGUUUUACUUUACCAAGCACCCCAGACAAGAGAAUUUGCUUGAAGUCACAGUCAAGCUGGGAAACAUAUAUAUUUAGGACAUCAUCUCAGAAUACUGUAAUUAUAAUGUAAUUCUGCCCCCAGCUGGUUAAGACAUAGCUGACAUAGGAGACUGAAAGAGAGAGAAUACUGAACCUAUGAACUCUGCUUCUUCUCAGAUGAUGACUACAAUUUGCAUGCAAAGUAUCAGCAGCUUUACUGUUCAGCGCAGGUGCUAAUAGAUUCUAAGUUCUUUAUCUGUCAAGGAGGAGAAGAAGAAAGAAGUAAAUCAGCUUCACAGAACAAGUUUUCCAACCCUAAGUUUUAAUGAAGUUUCUAUAUCCUGGCUUUUUAUGGUUUAUGUUCCAAGCCUAUCAUUAUUCAAGGGUCUGAAUUGUUCUUUAUUUUUUUAACUCCUUUGCUUUUUAAAGUGAAAAGAAGAGAGUCAAAAGUCUUUAAUGGAAAGUUCUCCAACG
rnacentral:lncRNA from 1 species